AGCUAGCAGAGCUGAGAACUCUCAUGUCCAAGCUACUCGUCUCUCACGGGGUUCUGAAGGCCAACGAGAUCCCCGAUGACAUCGACAGCGUGUUCCGCAAAUUUGUUCACGAAAAGGUCGCGUCGAAAUCAAAAUAGAAAGAACGGGGGCGCGGAAG